rnacentral:rRNA from 1 species
GAUCCUGGCUCAGGAUGAACGCUAGCUACAGGCUUAACACAUGCAAGUCGAGGGGCAGCGGGGUUGAAGCUUGCUUCAACCGCCGGCGACCGGCGCACGGGUGAGUAACACGUAUCCAACCUGCCGAUAACUUCGGGAUAGCCUUUCGAAAGAAAGAUUAAUAUCCGAUAGCAUAUAUUUCCCGCAUGGGUUUUAUAUUAAAGAAAUUCGGUAUGAGAUGGGGAUGCGUUCCAUUAGUUUGUUGGCGGGGUAACGG